UACGUAGGUGGCAAGCGUUGUCCGGAUUUACUGGGCGUAAAGAGCGCGCAGGCGGUCGUUCAAGUCGAGUGUGAAAGCCCCCGGCCCAACUGGGGAGGGUCACUCGAUACUGAUCGACUUGAAGGCAGGAGAGGGAAGCGGAAUUCCCGGUGUAGUGGUGAAAUGCGUAGAUAUCGGGAGGAACACCAGUGGCGAAGGCGGCUUCCUGGCCUGUUCUUGACGCUGAGGCGCGAAAGCUAGGGGAGCAAACGGG
rnacentral:rRNA from 1 species